AGCUGCUGGCUGCAUCAGAUUCUCUCAUGGCUCUGUAAAUACAGGAUAAAUAUUCCUCUAUGACUAGUUUAUUCAUUGCAGCUCUAGGGAAGCUACUCUGGGACCCAGAUGGAAGCCAGAGAGAUGACCCAAGCUUCUUUCUCAUCUUCAGCACCGCAUCUAUCACCACAGCAAGCUGGGCCCUCAAGCAUCCACCAGGU
ensembl:lincRNA Gm42806 predicted gene 42806